CUGGAGUGAAUUAUCAGGAGCCACCAGGUGCUGCAGCAGCUUUGGGAUAACUUGAGGGCGCAUCCUGGGGAAGAAACACCUCCUGUCCAUGGUGCUAACUGCUGAGGACAGUGCUUCGGCGUGGCUUCUCCGUGGCCCAGCUUCUUUGGGGCGUUUUUCUUUCAUGGUUCAUCCAUAUGGCUCCAAAUGAAAAUUACAUUAAUUAUGGAUGAAGAGUAUUGUGUUGUGCAGAUAUACUGCAGUUUCUUCAUCCCUUCAUCUAUGGAUGGACAGGUUCCACAGUGUUGCCACGGAUGACCUGAUUUCAGUACCCAUGUCUGGCUGAAGAGUAUCUGGUUGUGACUGGAUACUGCAGUUUCUGGAUCUCAUCCUCUGUGGGUGGACAGGUUUCUCCAUCUUGCUGGUAGUGAACUGAUGUCCGGAAGUUUGAUGGCCGAAGAGUAUACCGUUGUGCAUAUAUCCUUCAAUUCCUGAUUUUAUCAUCUGUAGAAAGACAAGUAGGUUGAUUCCCCACCUUGGUUAUUGUCCAGAGUACUUCAUGAAACAUGGGAAGGGAGAUACCUCCUUAAGAAAUCUUCAGACUGAUUUCCACAGUUUGAGAUCUAGUUUGCAUUACCUCCAAGAGAAUAGCCAUGUUUGCUUUUCUCUGCUGCCACACCAGCAUGUUAUGUUUUGACUUAGGACAAAUGGCCACUCUGACCAGCGUGUGAUGGCACCGGUACCUCAUCUCUGAUGAUUGGUGAUGUUGAGCAUUCCCCACGCCUGUUGGAAUGGCAAUCCCUUGGAAAUGUCUUCUCAAUAGUUACUACCCAUAGGUAUGUUGCUCAGGCCACUGUGUGGCCCCAGCACUUGGUUUGCAUAGGGACUUGGGGAUUGUUUGUCAUCAUUAGCCGGGACAAAUGUUACACUGCUGUUCCUACAGUGAGUAGUGGGAGUGGCGUAUGGGGGCAUAUGCUUAUGUCCACAGUUCCAUCAGAAAUCCCACUGCCUUAAGACAGUCUUACGGAAACCGAGUCCCAGCCUUGCAGCACCGGGUAGCCCUGUGGCAUUUUGACAUUGAGUGUGUCUGCAUUGUUGAAGUCACUCAGCAUGUUGCCAUGCGUUUAUCCACUUAGGUCAACGUUAAGGGAAGUUCAUCGCCUCUGCUUCUUCAGUAACUGAUGUCUGGUGCAUCAACUGAAUGCAUUUCAGGCUUUUCAGCAGUUCCCCCAGAUCUAUGGGUAAAAAAAGGUUUUCACCAUGCCCACCUCCCCAGUGAGUGACCAAUGUCUCAUUGUUAAUGCAUCUGAUGCACAGAGUUUAGUGGUCUGAGGGAGGUCAGUCGCCAAGCGGAGAUUGAAAUCACAUUUGUAUUUACAUUAUUACUUUUCUACAGUUUGGUUUGUUGCAGGCUUUCACACUACUAAUCUGGGCUGAAUCCUUGAAUUACUUUGUCUACCAAGGGUUUCAAAGAACUUGAUAAACUUGUUCUAAUUAGCCAACAUAUUCAUCCAUGUUGUCCGUAUACCAGGUGUAAAAAUAAAACGUUUCUUAAUGCACACAGGACAUGGAAGGCAAUCUACACAUUUUCAGGUGUAGACUUUGCUUGUGACUCUUUUGUGAGGAAUAGUCAUUGUUACUUUAGGAAAACCCUGAGUUUAUCCAACUCUUGUUAGAAUUGGAUAAGUGUAAAAACCUACAAUAGAAUGCAAGUGUGAGAGCCAAUUCCUCUGGUAAAAUAAACUCAUAUUAUUAUUUAUAUAUGUCUGGUCAUUGUAUUAAUAAAAUCAGUUUGUUUUGGCUGAAACACAUGGUUGGCCUUUACAAUAGAUGUGAAAAUGGGCUUAUAGAUCAUUGCUCUUUAUUGUGAAUAUUAGGUUGUAUUUAUUGCCAAACUCUUUCAACAGCUUCUAAGCAGUGAAUUUUCAGUGCAUUGUUGUUGUUCUCCAAGUACAAGCAGCCACUUCAGUUUUACCACAUUCAUCUUCCACACACUGAUGAACCAUAUGGAGGCAGCAGGAAUUGAAGUAGAACCAGAGGGAGUAGUUAGGACAGACAUUCUGAUUCAUUCAUUCUGAUUCUCACUAUUGUCAGUCAGUAAAGGUUCAUUGAAUUUUUCUUCUGAUGAAUAAAAUGGUCAGUUUUCUCAGUGCAAUGGCUUACUUUUGGAAGAGCAGCUCUAAAGACUUUACUACUGAUUAGUAAAGUCUAAACUGCUUUCUGUAUUUUUUUUUAAAUUCAACUUUUAUUUUAGACUGAAUAAAAAUGUGCAGGUUUAUUGUGUGAUACUGAGUUUUGGGGUACGAUUGAAGCCAUCACUAAGGUAAUGAGCAUCUCACCUUCUCCUUCUGUUCACUCUGUUACAGAGAACAGACCCUCCCAGUCUUCAGUGCACUCUAAAUACUGGCUAAUUCUGGCCAAUGGAAGGCAUCUGUGGAAGAAAAAAGCCUCAGAUCAUGUGCUGUCUGUCUUUAUUCAGUGUGACAUAUUAGGUAAUGGUCACAGACACUCACCAUGGCCCCAGUUUUUAAUAACAUGACCCUGCUUUUGUGUUCCAGUAACUUCUGUUGUUUUCCCAAUCCUAAGUAUGAUAGAAACUUCCUGCUGCUGCUAAUCUCUGGGUUCCAUUUAAAAUCCUUCCAUCACAUGAAUACUAUGCUGUGUUCUAAAUUUUUCCAUAAUUAAAUACUUACAAUUAUUUUUGCCUACUUCUUUUGCCCCUUAGUGAUAUGUUUUAAAAACACUUAUAAUGUGUCACAAUAUAUUUAGCAAAUGUAGGGAAUGACAUUUUUACUUUCGUCAGCAUUUACACUAGCAUUUAUGGAGCGAUGCUAUAUAAAGUAUUUUUAGUAAUUUAAACGUUAUAUAACAGAUAUCCGUUGAUUCCUUUGUUUCUACGUAAAUAAGUAUACUUGAG
rnacentral:lncRNA from 1 species